rnacentral:rRNA from 1 species
UGAGCAAUCUGCCCUUCUCAUCGGAAUAAGCGUUGGAAACGACGUCUAAUGCCGAAUACGACCUCCUUUCGCAUGAUCGGAGGUGGAAAGCUCCGGCGGAGAAGGAUGAGCUCGCGGCAUAUCAGCUAGUUGGUGUGGGUAAUGGCCCACCAAGGCGACGACGGGUAGCCGGCCUGAGAGGGUGACCGGCCACACUGGGACUGAGACACGGCCCAGACCUCCCGUAGGGAGG